rnacentral:rRNA from 1 species
GACGAACGCUGGCGGCGUGCUUAACACAUGCAAGUCGAACGAUGAUGCCCAGCUUGCUGGGUGGAUUAGUGGCGAACGGGUGAGUAACACGUGAGUAACCUGCCCCUGACUCUGGGAUAAGCGUUGGAAACGACGUCUAAUACUGGAUAUGACUGCCGGCCGCAUGGUCUGGUGGUGGAAAGAUCUUUUGGUUGGGGAUGGACUCGCGGCCUAUCAGCGUGUUGGUGAGGAAAUGGCUCACCAAGGCGACGACGGGUAGCCGGCCUGAGAGGGUGACCGGCCACACUGGGACUGAGACACGGCCCAGACUCCUACGGGAGGCAGCAGUGGGGAAUAUUGCACAAUGGGCGAAAGCCUGAUGCAGCAACGCCGCGUGAGGGAUGACGGCCUUCGGGUUGUAAACCUCUUUUAGUAGGGAAGAAGCGAAAGUGACGGUACCUGCAGAAAAAGCGCCGGCUAACUACGUGCCAGCAGCCGCGGUAAAAC